rnacentral:rRNA from 1 species
UGGGGAAUCUUGCACAAUGGGGGAAACCCUGAUGCAGCGACGCCGCGUGAGCGAUGAAGCCCUUCGGGGUGUAAAGCUCUUUCGGCAGGGAAGAUUAUGACGGUACCUGCAGAAGCAGCUGCGGCUAACUACGUGCCAGCAGCCGCGGUAAUACGUAGGCAGCAAGCGUUGUUCGGAGUUACUGGGCGUAAAGGGUGCGUAGGCGGCUCGAUAAGUAUGGUGUGAAAUCUCCCGGCUUAACUGGGAGGGUGCGCUAUAGACUGCCGGGCUAGAGUGUGGGAGAGGAAAGUGGAAUUCCUGGUGUAGCGGUGAAAUGCGUAGAUAUCAGGAGGAACACCGGUGGUGUAAACGGCUUUCUGGACCAUAACUGACGCUGAGGCACGAAAGCGUGGGUAGCAAACAGGAUUAGAUACCCUGGUAGUCCACGCCCUAAACGAUGCAUAUUUGGUGUGGGUCAUUCAGUUGAUCCGUGCCGGAGCUAACGCGUUAAAUAUGCCGCCUGGGGAGUACAGUCGCAAGGCUG